CCUACGGGGGGCUGCAGUGAGGAAUAUUGGUCAAUGGCCGCAGGGCUGAACCAGCCAAGUCGCGUGAGGGAUGACGGUCCUAUGGAUUGUAAACCUCUUUUGUCAGGGAGCAAAGGGCGCCACGUGUGGCGCUUUGCGAGUACCUGAAGAAAAAGCAUCGGCUAACUCCGUGCCAGCAGCCGCGGUAAUACGGAGGAUGCGAGCGUUAUCCGGAUUUAUUGGGUUUAAAGGGUGCGCAGGCGGAAUGUCAAGUCAGCGGUAAAAUUUCGGGGCUCAACCCCGUCGUGACGUUGACACUGGCGUUCUUGAGUGAGCGAGAAGUAUGCGGAAUGCGUGGUGUAGCGGUGAAAUGCAUAGAUAUCACGCAGAACUCCGAUUGCGAAGGCAGCAUACCGGCGCUCAACUGACGCUCAUGCACGAAAGCGUGGGUAUCGAACAGGAUUAGAUACCCUAGUAGUC
rnacentral:rRNA from 1 species